rnacentral:rRNA from 1 species
GACGAACGCUGGCGGCGUGCUUAACACAUGCAAGUCGAACGGAAAGGCCCUGCUUUUGUGGGGUGCUCGAGUGGCGAACGGGUGAGUAACACGUGAGUAACCUGCCCUUGACUUUGGGAUAACUUCAGGAAACUGGGGCUAAUACCGGAUAGGAGCUCCUGCUGCAUGGUGGGGGUUGGAAAGUUUCGGCGGUUGGGGAUGGACUCGCGGCUUAUCAGCUUGUUGGUGGGGUAGUGGCUUACCAAGGCUUUGACGGGUAGCCGGCCUGAGAGGGUGACCGGCCACAUUGGGACUAAGAUACGGCGCAGAAUCCUACGGGAGGCAGCAGUGGGGAGUAUUACGCAAUGGGCGGACGCCUGAUGCAGAAACGCCGCGUGCGGGAUGACGGCCUUCGGGUUGUAAACCGCUUUCGCAUGUGACGAGGCGUGAGUGACGGUAAUGGGUAAAGAAGCACCGGCUAACUAAGUG